rnacentral:rRNA from 1 species
UACGUAGGGUGCAAGCGUUGUUCGGAAUCAUUGGGCGUAAAGAGCGUGUAGGUGGCUUACCAAGUCGAUUGUGAAAGCCCUCGGCUCAACCGAGGAAGUGCAGUCGAAACUGGCAAGCUCGAGAACGGUAGAGGAAGGUGGAAUUCCUAGUGUAGAGGUGAAAUUCGUAGAUAUUCGGAAGAACACCAGUGGCGAAGGCGACACACUGGCCCGUUACUGACGCUGAGGCUCGAAAGCGUGGGGAGCAAACAGG